AGUGAAAGGGAUUUAGUCCCUUCGCGAAUCGCUCAGUAACACGUCGAUAAUCUUCCCUUAUGCUCGGAAUAAACUUGGGAAACUGAGUAUAAUACCGAAUGGGUGAUAAUUUCUGGAAUGAUUUAUCACUUAAAGUUUUAACGUAUAAGGACGAGUUGGCGGCCGAUUAGGUUGUUGGUGGGGUAAUGGCCCACCAAGCCUUUGAUCGGUAGGGGCCUUGAGAGAGGUAGCCCCGAGAGGGUCACUGAGAAACUGGACCUAGCCCUACGGGGUGCAGCAGGUACGAAAUCUCUUCAAUGCACGACAGUGUGAAAGGGGAAUUCUACGUGCUCAUGUUUUCAUGGGCUUUUGCAUAGUGUAAAUAACUACGCGAAUAAGGGGUGGGAAAGACCGGUGCCAGCAGCCGCGGUAACACCGGCGCCCCAAGUGGCAAUCAGUAUUAUUGGGCCUAAAGCGUCCGUAGCCUGAAAAAUAAAUCUUUUGUGAAAUCUAUCUGCUUAACAGGUAGGAUUGCGAAAGACACUGUUUUUCUAGGGACCGGGAGGGGUCAGAAGUAUUAUAGGGGGAGCGGUAAAAUGUGAUAAUCCCUAUAAGACUACCGAUGGCGAAAGCAUCUGACCAGAACGGAUCCGACGGUGAGGGACGAAGGCCAGGGAAGCAAAACGGAUUAGAUACCCGAGUAGUCCUGGCUGUAAACGCUGUAUGCAAGAUGUUGCGUUUUUUUAUGAAUUCGCAGUAUCGAAGGGAAGCCGAUAAGCAUACCGCCUGGGAAGUACGGUCGCAAGACUGAAACUUAAAGGAAUUGGCGGGGGAGCACCACAAGGGGUGCGGCGUGCGGUGUAAUCUAACUUAACGCACAGAAUCUCACCAGGGGCGACAGCAAGAUGAAGGUCAGUCUAAAGGGCUUACCUGAUGAGCUGAGAGGUAGUGCAUGGCCGUCGUCAGCUCGUACCGUAAGGUGUCCUGUUAAGUCAGGCAACGAGCGAGACCUGCAUCCACAAUUGCCAGCGAUAUCUUCGGAUAGAUCGGGAACAUUGUGGGGACUGCCCGUGAAAACGGGAGGAAGGUGCAGGCUACGGUAGGUCUGUAUGCUCCGAAUCUCCUGGGCUACACGCGCGCAACAAUGGUAUGGACAAUGGGCUACUACUCCGAAAGGAGACGUUAAUCCUCGAAACCAUACCCAAGUACAGAUUGUGGGUUGUAACUCACCCACAUGACGCUGGAAUCCCUAGUAAUC
rnacentral:rRNA from 1 species